UUUUAAGAAUGACCUUGGGGCCAAAUGAUAUCUUGUGUGGAGAUACCUCCUUGUGAUUGACCUGUCUGGUAUUGAGAAGUGGGAUUGAAGGAUUUUGGCCUGACCAGGCUGCCCUACUUUUGACUCCAGAUGCCAUAUAACAGCAGAGACCUCAUGUUCCAAUCUGAGUCUAAACCCAAGGUUCAGGCUGACACAACAUUUGGAGGCCCCAGCGAGAUGACUGGCAUUUUGUGUUGCCAAGGAGACCCCUGAACUUCGGAAGAGAACAGAAGAAUGGACUGGCCCUCUUUCAGUUUCAGGGGAGCUGACCUCUGUUGAUGUUCCAGGGUCCUGGAACAUGGAGUCUGGUAAAAUCCUGCAGAGAUAAGGACCAUCUCUAAAAUAAUUGCUUCAUCUUUUUUUUCCCUCUUUAAAGAUAUGUAAUUUGGGAUAUGAUACUAAAA